CGCCUUGUUGAUCGGUUAGCUGACUACAACAGCCUUUUCUCAGGAACAUACCCAACAGUGCACGCAAAGCUUGUUGAUUUUCAAAAAGAACUUGUAAACUUGCAGGUUGUGGAGAAUAAUCCCAAAUACUGGGAAGUUAUGUCAUCAGCACUUGCUGUGGGUUGGCUAGAUAUCGUGGUUAAAAUGUUGCGCUUGCAUGGAUCUUAUCAAUUAGAUCAACUCAGCAAUCGCGAGGUUGGUAAGAGAUUAAUUAUUAUGCAUUGCAUCCAAAAGAUGUAGCUCUAUUUACCUUUAGUUUCAUUGAAAC